UGUAAACAUCCACGACUGGAAGC
rnacentral:piRNA from 1 species